UCAUUCCACUCACGGGUCACCCAGGGCUCCUCUCUCAGCUCCUCUUUUCACAUCCAAUGCACCAGAAGAUAUCUGGGAGCCGCCCUCCUGUCCCUGCAUGGCUCUUGGGCCGGAGCAUGCUAGGGGUGGUGGGGGCCAGGGAAUGGCAUAAAGAGGGAAAUGGGGAGCAGAGCCUGGCUCUUUGCAGGACUCUUAAGUAUGAAUGGCCAUGGGGUGGUGAUGACAGGUGGUACCUGUGACUUAGUGGACGUGGGGCACUGAGAUAGGAAAAGGCCACUGGACCCCAACUGCGCCCUGGACCACAGGUUUCCUCCCCUGUCCUCUCCUGCCUCCAGACUGCCCUCUUUAGGCAGCCAGGGUGAAGUCUUCUGCUGCUCUUUUAAUUUUGAGAAUGUUCAAAUCCACUGAAAAGUACUAUGAACAUCAUAAACCAUUUAGAUUCUACAGUUGUUGACAUUUUGCCACACUGAUUGUGUCUUUGAAUAUAUUUACUUUUUAUUGCUGAAAAGUAAUUUGAAAACACCAUUGAACCUUGAAUAAUACAGAGAUUGGGGGCACUGACCUCUGUGCAGUUGAAAAUCAAAGCAUAACUUUUGACUUCCCUAAAAUUUGCUAAUAGCCUACUGGUGACUGGAAGCCUUAUGGAUAAUAUAAAUAGUCAACACAUAUUUUUUAUGUUAUGUGUUAUAUACUGUAUCCUUUUUUUUUUUUUUUUUGAGAUGGAGUUUCACUCUUAUUACCCAGGCUGGAGUGCAAUGGUGUGAUCUCGGCUCACCGCAACCUCCGCCUCCUGGGUUCAGGCAAUUCUCCUGCCUCAGCCUCCCGAGUAACUGGGAUUACGGGCUGCGCCACCAUGCCCAGCUAAGUUUGGUAUUUUUAGUAGAGACGGGGUUUCCCCAUGUUGACCAGGAUCGUCUCGAUCUCUUGACCUAGUGAUCCACCCGCCUCGGCCUCCCAAAGUGCUGGGAUUACAGGCGUGAGUCACUGCGUCCAGCCUUAUAUAUGCUAUUCUUAAAAGAAAAUGGUAUUCAGAAAAUAAUAAGAAAAUAUUUUAAUAUUCAUUAAGUGAAAAUGGAUUAUCCUCAUUGUCUUUACAUUGAGUAGGCUGAGGAGGAGGAGGAGGAAAAGGAGGGUUGGUCUUGCAAUCUGAGGGGUGACUGAGGUAGAAGAAAAUCCAAUUACAACUGAUCCUCGAAGUUCAAACCUGUGUUGUUCCAGGGUUAGCUGUAAUUUGCAGACAUCGUGACACUUCUUAGAUACUUCAGCCUGUUUCCUAGCAAUACCUUAUUUCAACUGAGAAAAUUAACAAUAAUCCCAUGGUCACAUAACUCUUAAUUCUCCAGUUGUCUCUAAAAUGCCUACAUAGCUGAAUUGUUCCCCUCUAAGUCAGAAGCUAAUCAAGGUUGUACAUUGCAUUUAAUUGUGUCUCUUCGGCGUUUUUUUUUUUUGAAACAAGGUCUCACUCUGUCCCCAAGGCUGGAGCACAGUAGUGUGGUGAUGGCUCAUUGCAUACUCAACCUCCCAGGCUCAGAGAUCAAGUCUCAACAUGUUGCCCAGGAGGAGCCCAGCCAUGGUGGCCUAGCCCCAGGUUUUCCAGUGUCCACACUCAGGGUUAUCUCCCAGCUGGAGCAGGGAAAAAUGCAUGGGUCAUUGCUCUGCCAGGACCUCCCUGCACAGAUUCUCAGAUCAAGACAAAGCAUAAACAAGCAACCCCAACAGAAAAAUCUUCUGAAGACAAUUACAAGGAGUAACUCAAGAAAUUUUCCUGAGAGGCAAUCCAGAGGAGUUUGAGUUUUGAUCAGCUUGUGGGAAUGAGACAGGAGCAGAACAUUACUGGAAAAAAUUAACAAUAAAGAGCAGGAUGAAGUUACUUUCCCAAAAGAGAGGUUUAAGGCAAGUGGUCAGCUCCCACUUCAAAACCAGUGCAGCAGAGAAAUAUCAGGAAUAUAACAAAUUGGAGAAAAGUUUGUGUCUGGACACAAAGCCUGUUGUACCUCUAAGGGACAGGCCAGGAGAGAGAGCCAGAGGAUGGAGAUUGGGUGGCUGAAGCUUUCCAUGUGAGUCAUGUGUGAGUAGACAUUAGGCAGUUACCAGUGGUCAAAGCCCCAUGGAUGUCAUGUGUGUGGGAAAUCUUUCAACAAGAACUCAAACCUUACUUGGCAUCAGAUAAUUCAUACUACAGAGAAGCCCUACGUAUGUAUCGAAUGUGGGAAAAAAUCACAACUCAAGCCUUACACAACAUCAGAAAAUUCACUGUGGAUGGUGAAAUCCCAUCUCUACUAAAAAUACAAAAAUUAGCUGGGUGUGGUGGUGCAUGCCUAUAAUCCCAGCUACUCAGGAGGCUGAGGCAGGAGAAUUGUUUGAACCAGGGAGGUGGAGGUUGCAGUGAACUGAGAUUGUGCCCUUGCACUCUACACUGGGUGACAGAGCAAGAUUCGACAUCUCAAAAGAAAAAAAAAGAGAAAGAAAAGAAAAUUCAUGGUGGAGAGAAACCCUGUGUGUAGUAAUGUGGCAAGGGCUUUAGGGAGACAUCAAAGCAUGUUAAAUAUCAGAGAAUUCAUACUGGAGAAAAGCCCUAUAGGUGGAAUGAAUGUGGCAGAGCCUUUAGUGAGAAUUCAAACCUUAUUAAACACCAACUGAUACAUAUUGGAGAGAAGCCCUAAAAAUGUAGAGUGUGGGAAAGCUUUUAAUCUGAAAGCAAAUCCCAUGCAGUAUCAGAGAAUUCAUAUAGGAGAGAAACUUUUCCUUUUUUUUUUUUUUUUUUUUUUUAGUGCCACAAAUCAGAUACGAAGAGAGAAACUUUCUGAAUGUAAAGAGUGUAGAAAAGUUACAACCAGCCAUCACACUUGAUUCAUAAUCAAAGGCUGCAUUAUUGAGAGAAGCCCUAGAAAUGCAAUGAGUAUGGAAGGGGCUUCAAACAUCAUACCUGAUUGAUCACCAAAGAAUACACACUGGAGGGAAAACUUACACAUGUGUUAUGUGUGGGAGAGGCUUUAUUCAGAUGUCACACUUGAUUCAUCACCACAGAACACAUUUCUGUAGAGAAGCCACAUGCAUGUGGUGAAUGUGGGAUAUGGUUCAACCAGCGCUCAACCCUUAUUAGACAUUAGGUUAUUCACACCAUGGAUACCAAGUAUAAGUUAAAGGAAUCUGGGCAGGCUUUCAUUGUGAGCUAGCUUCUCAGUCACUAUCUCACAAAUCCUACCUAAGAGGAACCCCUCAAUUCACACAGGAGGGAAAAGCAUCCAAGAAUGCAACAGAGGUGGGAAGCCUUUCAUUGUAACUCAUUAUACAAUGUCUGGAAGUUCCUAUUGGAGAAAACCCCCAUGGAUGUAAUGAAUGUUGAAAAAGCAUUUAUUUGGAACUCACAUUAUUUACAAUGAGAUGAUUCAUACAGGAUAUAAUGGAUAUAAGUGAGGCUUUGGUGUACUAUGGGAAGUAGGUGGAAAUUUGGGUUCCUGCUGUUGCCAUCUGCUCCCUUUUGAAUAAAGUGCCCUAGCAGGUGUUUGCCUCAGGGUGGUCAUGCUCUGUAGGGAAUCUUGCUUUAUACCAGGACUGUGAGAUGGAGACAAAGACAGCAUUAUUCCUGGCUGGGAAUGCCAUUGGAAAUGCUAGGGGAGGCCAGUGGUCCAUGUUGUGGUCUGAUCCCAAAUAUGCAGAAGCCAGAAGUAGAGACCAGACCCAGAGAGAAGCAGAUAAACGCAAUCCCCAAAGUGAAUGCACAGGAAAAUGGAAAACUGCAAGAGUUGGUGUUGGGUCCCCAGAGCUGCCUUUUUAUCCUGAACAAUAAGCAAUGAAUGACUCAAGGUCUUCAUGAAACCAGGGAAUAGCUGAGGCAGCUUCCUAAACCUCUGCACUGUUUCUUAAGUCUAACAUGUAGAAUGGGUGUCAGCUGUGCCAACAUGUAGGAUAUGUAUUUUCUUUUUUUUGAGACGGAGUUUCGCUCUUGUUACCCAGGCUGGAGUGCAAUGGCGUGAUCUCGGCUCACCGCAACCUCCACCUCCUGGGUUCAGGCAAUUCUCCUGCCUCAGCCUCCUGAGUAGCUGGGAUUACAGGCAUGCACCACCAUGCCCAGCUAAUUUUUUGUAUUUUUAGUAGAGACAGGGUUUCACCAUGUUGACCAAGAUCGUCUCGAUCUCUUGACCUCGUGAUCCACCCGCCUUGGCCUCCCAAAGUGCUGGGAUUACAGGCUUGAGCCACCGCGCCCGGCCAGGAUCUGUAUUUUAAUCAGAAGGCAAUCUAAUGUGGCUACUGGCUAUAGUGAAAACUUCAUUCUAAAGUCAAGGAUUUUAACAUAAGCUGCUGAAGGCGUAUGUUGAAAUAAUUUUUAAAAUGAAAUCAAGGCUGGACACAGUGGCUUAUGCCUGUAAUCCCAGCACUUUGGGAGGCCAAGAUGGAUCCCUUGAUGCCAGGAGUUUGAGAUCAGCUUGGCAAAAUGGUGAGGCCCCCAUCUCUACAAAGAAAAUUAGCCAAGCAUGGUUGUGGGCACCUGCCAUCCCAGCUACUUGGGACGCUGAGGUGGGAGGGUCAUUUGAACCUAGGAGUUUAAGGCUGGAGUGAGCCUCGAUUGUGUGACUGUACUCUGCCCUGGGCAACACAGUGAGACUGUCCCAAAAAUAUGUGUGUUAAAAGAUUGCUUAUGUCUAGUUCAUACCUCCUAAAGGUAAUUUGAAUUAAAAUAAUGAUGCAUACAGUAAGGUCAUUAAAGUAGAAAAAAAUAAAGGAUUAUAAAGCCA